rnacentral:rRNA from 1 species
AUUGAACGCUGGCGGCAUGCCUUACACAUGCAAGUCGAACGGCAGCACGGACUUCGGUCUGGUGGCGAGUGGCGAACGGGUGAGUAAUGUAUCGGAACGUACCUUUCAGUGGGGGAUAACGUAGCGAAAGUUACGCUAAUACCGCAUAUUCUGUGAGCAGGAAAGCAGGGGAUCGCAAGACCUUGCGCUGAUUGAGCGGCCGAUAUCAGAUUAGCUAGUUGGUGGGGUAAAGGCCUACCAAGGCUACGAUCUGUAGCGGGUCUGAGAGGAUGAUCCGCCACACUGGAACUGAGACACGGUCCAGACUCCUACGGGAGGCAGCAGUGGGGAAUUUUGGACAAUGGGGGCAACCCUGAUCCAGCCAUGCCGCGUGAGUGAAGAAGGCCUUCGGGUUGUAAAGCUCUUUCGGUCCGGGAAGAAAUCGCAUAGGCUAAUACCCUGUGUGGAUGACGGUACCGGAAUAAGAAGCACCGGCUAACUACGUGCC